ensembl:lncRNA
UCCUUGGUUCAAGCGAUUCUCCUGCCUCAGCCUUCCAAGUGGCUGGGACUACAGGCAUGCACCACCAUACCCGGCUAAUUUUGUAAUUUUAGUAGAGACGAUGUUUCACCAUGUUGAUCAGGCUGGUCUCGAACUCCUGACCUCAAAUUAUCCGAGCUCUUCGGUCUCAAAGUGCUGGGAUUACAGGCGUGAGCCACUGCACCCCUGGCCUAGCUUGCUGCCUUUUAUUCCUUUAUUGUGGGGACAUACUGUGGUUUCUUCAUUCAUUCUCCUAUUGACGGACACUUUGGCUGUUUGAACAUUUUUGCACAAGUAAUUUUGUGUAUGAAUGUUUUCCUUUCUCUUGGGUAAAUACCCAGGAGUGAAAUGAGUGGGUCAUAGUUGAAAUGGUUGUAGCCUUUCACUCCCCCACGACAACGUCUGAGUCCUGGUGUGACCUAGUCUAUUUGUUGCCUUUCUGGUGAACGUGUGGUGUAUGUUAAUGUGGUUGACUUGCAUUUCCCUGAUGAAUUAUGAAAACAAGAACUUGUUUAGUAUGCUUUUUGGUCAUUUGUAUAUAUUCUUUUGUGACCCUAACUUUUUAAAAUUAAUUUUUAUUUCUCUUCCUUAAUAAGCACUGUGAAGUGGCAUUGCACUUAGGCAAAUAGGCAUUUAACACAUGAAUUGAAUUUCUUCCCCAUCCUUACCCUUCAGUGAAGACUGUCCAAGAUAUGCAAACCAAUACAAAGAGAACUCUUUGAGAAAAAGCUGAGUCAGGCCCCUUGAUCAUGUCAUACCUGAGUUCCACUCUCUGGGACGCUGGUAGCCUCAUCAUGAAGCAGAUGUGGGAGGCCAGCCGGUGAGGCGCUGCUGGCCUGUGCAGUGUGCACGAUGUCCUCUAAGUAAGGUUGGGGGGAUGCUGAUGCAUCAGGGGAUGGGCAUACUGGACGUGGGGGAAAGGGCAAAAAAUAGCCCUUUGCUCUAAAGAGCUCAGCUUAUGGGUUUUGGUGGGGAAGGGAGUGGAAGUGCGGGGAUCACAGCUGAGGCCAGGGAGGAAAUGAAGCACAGCCUCCAGAGUUGGAUUAGUGGCCUCCAGAGUUGGAUUAGUGGCUACAGGGAAAUCGUGACGCCAGGGAGCUUCUUUAGGUGUCAGGCAGAGGAUCUUGUUCUUUCAAUGGAGAAUGACAUUUGUCACCCCACUUAGCAGAGGCUCCUUUGAGCCAGCUCAGAUGGUUUACAAGACAACCAUGCAGAGCCACCAGGUACCCAGGGGCAUUCGUGGCCUGGGUUCAGCAUGGCCUGGCCCUGCGUCCCCUCUCCCUGCCCUAGGGAGGAGAAGAAAUUCAAUUCAUGUGUUGAAUGCCUGUUUGACUAAGUGCAAUGCCACUUCACAGUGCUUAUGGACACUCAGACUCAGUUUCUAUUAUUAUUAUUAUUUGAAAACAAAUUUUCGAGACAGAGUCUUGCUCUGUUGCCCAGGCUACAGUAUAGUGAUGUGAUUUCAGCUCACUACAGCCUUUGCCUCCCAGGCUCAAGUGAUCCUUCCACCUUGGCCUCCAAGUAGCUAGAACCACAGGUGCACAUCGCCACGCCUGGCUAAUUUUAUGUAUUUUUUGUAAAGACAAGGUUUCGCCAUGUUGCCCAGGCUGGUCUCAAACUCCUGUACUCAAGUGAUCUGCCCAUCUCAGCCUCCCAAAGUGCUGGGAUUACAGGCAUGAGCCACCACGCGUGGCCUUCUUCUUCCUUUAUCAACCCCAUUUCUAUCCUUCCCUGGGUCGCCCCUGCCUGUUCCCACCCACGCGCUUCACUUCAUUUGCAGCAACUCAUUGCAUUGUUGGAGGACUUCACUGCUCUGUUUCUGUGGACCGAUAGCUGCCCCGGAAUUUCACUAGAAAUCCUUGGACUAGGCCACGGAGACAGAGAAAGAGGAAAAGGAGAUAAAAAGAAGCUGGAUUAAGAAAAGGGUCAGGAAGAAGGGGUGAAUGAGAAGGCGAGGAAGAAAGGGGCUCAGAUGAUUUCUGCAGAGUUUGGGGUAGCACCCGUGAGAGGCGUCUGCUUCCACCGCUGGGUUAGGUGCUCCCCCCGGGUGAGGUGCUCCUUCCUGGGUUAGGUUCUCCUCCCAGGUUAGGCACUCUUCCCUAGGUUAGGCGCUCCUCCCUGGUUUACGCGCUCCUCCCUGGGUUAGGCGCUCCUCCCUGGGUUAGGCGCUCCUCCCUGGGUUAGGCGCUCCUCCCUGGGUUAGGUGCUCAGGACCCUGCGAGCAAAGUGAAGCUGCUGCUUCCCACUCCCUGGAGACAACGCCUUCCCUCUCAGUGCAGGUUCACAGCAUGCCGGGCAGGCAGCCCCUGGUCAGCACGUGAGGGGAUACGAUGAAAACAGGAACUUACAAUCCAAAGAGAUCUCUUGCAGCACAGCUCUGCUUAUGCGGCGGGGACAACAUGUGGAAAAAAUGUCCCCCACAUUUGUCUCAUUUCUCACUGGAUCAAACUACUCUCCUUAUUCCUUUAGAAUCAGGUGCUGUCAAAGACAGGGAAUGAACCUAAAUGGCCAUCAGUGGUAGACUUGGAUAAAGAAAAUGUGGUUUACAUAUGCCAUGGAAUCCUUACCAGUCAUAAAAAAAUGAGAUGGUGCCUUUUGCAGGGACGUGGAUGGAGCUGGAGGCCAUUAUUCUUAGCAAACUAAUGCAGGAACAGAAACCAAAUACCACAUGUUCUCACUUAUAAGUGGGAGCUAAAUGAUGAGAACACAUGGACGUGGAGAUGGGAAUAGCAG